rnacentral:ncRNA from 10 species
GGUCAUGAGUGCCAGCGAUAAGCCCCGGCUUGCUGGCCGGCAACCCUCCGACCGCGGUGGGGUGCUCCGGGUGAAGACCAGGCCUGAUAGUCAGGCAAGCGCGGGUC